UACAGAGGUCCCAAGCGCUGUUCGGAUUCACUGGGCGUAAAGGGUGCGCAGGUGGGUUGGCAAGUUUGAUGUGAAAGCCCCGGGCUUAACCCGGGAAUGGCAUUGAAUACUGCUGAUCUGGAGGAUUGGAGGGGGGACUGGAAUUCUUGGUGUAGCAGUGAAAUGCGUAGAUAUCAAGAGGAACACCAGUGGCGAAGGCGAGUCCCUGGACAAUACCUGACACUGAGGCACGAAAGCCAAGGGAGCAAACAGG
rnacentral:rRNA from 1 species